UGCAGAGGGUGCGAGCGUUAAUCGGAAUUACUGGGCGUAAAGCGUGCGUAGACGGUUAUUUAAGUCGGGUGUGAAAGCCCCGGGCUCAACCUGGGAAUUGCAUUCGAGACUGAAUAGCUAGGGUACGGUAGAGGGAAGUGGAAUUUCCGGUGUAGCGGUGAAAUGCGUAGAUAUCGGAAGGAACAUCAGUGGCGAAAGCGACUUCCUGGGCCAGUACCGACGUUCAGGCACGAAAGCGUGGGGAGCAAACAGG
rnacentral:rRNA from 1 species